rnacentral:rRNA from 1 species
UUGAACGCUGGCGGCAUGCUUUACACAUGCAAGUCGAACGGCAGCACGGGUGCUUGCACCUGGUGGCGAGUGGCGGACGGUGAGUAAUGCAUCGGAACGUGUCCUGAAGUGGGGAUAACGCAUCGAAAGAUGUGCUAAUACCGCAUAUUCUCUGAGGAGAAAAGUAGGGGAUCGAAAGACCUUAUGCUUUUGGAGCGGCCGAUGUCUGAUUAGCUAGUUGGUAAGGUAAUGGCUUACCAAGGCAACGAUCAGUAGUUGGUCUGAGAGGACGGCCAGCCACACUGGGACUGAGACACGGCCCAGACUCCUACGGGAGGCAGCAGUGGGGAAUUUUGGACAAUGGGCGCAAGCCUGAUCCAGCAAUGCCGCGUGAGUGAAGAAGGCCUUCGGGUCGUAAAGCUCUUUCAGUUGAGAAGAAAAAGUCGUGACUAAUAAUCAUGAUUCAUGACGGUAUCAACAGAAGAAGCACCGGCUAACUACGUG